UUGCUCUUCAACGAGGAAUGCCUAGUAAGCGCAUGUCAUCAGCAUGCGUUGAUUACGUCCCUGCCCUUUGUACACACCGCCCGUCGCUACUACCGAUUGAAUGGCUGAGUGAGGCCUCCGGACUGGCCCAGGGAGGUCGGCAACGACCACCCAGGGCCGGAAAGCUGGUCAAACUCCGUCAUUUAGAGGAAGUAAAAGUCGUAACAAGGUUUCCGUAGGUGAACCUGCGGAAGGAUCAUUAAAGAGUAAGGGUGCUCAGCGCCCGACCUCCAACCCUUUGUUGUUAAAACUACCUUGUUGCUUUGGCGGGACCGCUCGGUCUCGAGCCGCCGGGGCUUCGGCCCAGGCGAGCGCCCGCCAGAGUUAAACCAAACUCUUGUUAAUAAACCGGUCGUCUGAGUUAAAUUUUUGAAUAAAUCAAAACUUUCAACAACGGAUCUCUUGGUUCUCGCAUCGAUGAAGAACGCAGCGAAAUGCGAUAAGUAAUGUGAAUUGCAGAAUUCAGUGAAUCAUCGAAUCUUUGAACGCACAUUGCGCCCCUUGGUAUUCCGAGGGGCAUGCCUGUUCGAGCGUCAUUACACCACUCAAGCACUGCUUGGUAUUGGGCGUCCGUCCCUCACGGGGCGCGCCUUAAAGACCUCGGCGAGGCCUCACCGGCUUUAGGCGUAGUAGAAUUUAUUCGAACGUCUGUCAAAGGAGAGGACUUCUGCCGACUGAAACCUUUUAUUUUUUCUAGGUUGACCUCGGAUCAGGUAGGGAUACCCGCUGAACUUAAGCAUAUCAAUAAGCGGAGGA
rnacentral:rRNA from 1 species